UGACAGCGAUGAUGUGGAAGGUUGCUGACACACCCGAGCCCGUUGCCAUGGUGAAGGUGAGGAAAUUUUCACGGAGUAUGUCUGUUUAUAAAAUGGACGAUAA
rfam:Anaerobacillus arseniciselenatis strain DSM 15340 Ga0137926_101, whole genome shotgun sequence.